UACGGGGGGGGCAAGCGUUGUUCGGAAUUACUGGGCGUAAAGAGCGCGCAGGCGGUCGUUCAAGUCGCGUGUGAAAGCCCCCGGCUCAACUGGGGAGGGUCACGCGAUACUGAUCGACUCGAAGGCAGGAGAGGGUAGUGGAAUUCCCGGUGUAGUGGUGAAAUGCGCAGAUAUCGGGAGGAACACCAAUGGCGAAGGCAGGUAACUGGACUAUUACUGACACUCAGCUGCGAAAGCUAGGGGAGCAAACAGG
rnacentral:rRNA from 1 species